GGGAAAGGCGAAAAGAACCCCUGUGAGGGGAGUGAAAUAGAACCUGAAACCGUGUACGUACAAGCAGUAGGAGCCCCUCGAGGGUGACUGCGUACCUUUUGUAUAAUGGGUCAGCGACUUAUAUUUUGUAGCGAGGUUAACCGAUUAGGGUAGCCGUAGGGAAACCGAGUCUUAACUGGGCGAAUAGUUGCAAGGUAUAGACCCGAAACCCG
rnacentral:rRNA from 1 species